rnacentral:rRNA from 1 species
AGAGUUUGAUCCUGGCUCAGGAUGAACGCUGGCGGCGUGCCUAAUACAUGCAAGUCGAGCGAACAGACGAGGAGCUUGCUCCUCUGACGUUAGCGGCGGACGGGUGAGUAACACGUGGAUAACCUACCUAUAAGACUGGGAUAACUUCGGGAAACCGGAGCUAAUACCAGAUAACAUGUUGAACCGCAUGGUUCAACAGUGAAAGACGGUCUUGCUGUCACUUAUAGAUGGAUCCGCGCCGCAUUAGCUAGUUGGUAAGGUAACGGCUUACCAAGGCAACGAUGCGUAGCCGACCUGAGAGGGUGAUCGGCCACACUGGAACUGAGACACGGUCCAGACUCCUACGGGAGGCAGCAGUAGGGAAUCUUCCGCAAUGGGCGAAAGCCUGACGGAGCAACGCCGCGUGAGUGAUGAAGGUCUUCGGAUCGUAAAACUCUGUUAUUAGGGAAGAACAAAUGUGUAAGUAACAAUGCACGUCUUGACGGCACCUAAUCAGAAAGCCACGGCUAACUACGUGCCAGCAGCCGCGGUAAUACGUAGGUGGCAAGCGUUAUCCGGAAUUAUUGGGCGUAAAGCGCGCGUAGACGGUUUUUUAAGUCUGAUGUGAAAGCCCACGGCUCAACCGUGGAGGGUCAUUGGAAACUGGAAAACUUGAGUGCAGAAGAGGAAAGUGGAAUUCCAUGUGUAGCGGUGAAAUGCGCAGAGAUAUGGAGGAACACCAGUGGCGAAGGCGACUUUCUGGUCUGUAACUGACGCUGAUGUGCGAAAGCGUGGGGAUCAAACAGGAUUAGAUACCCUGGUAGUCCACGCCGUAAACGAUGAGU